rnacentral:rRNA from 1 species
UACGAAGGGGGCUAGCGUUGCUCGGAAUCACUGGGCGUAAAGGGUGCGUAGGCGGGUUUUUAAGUCCGGGGUGAAAUCCUCCAGCUCAACUGGAGAACUGCCUCGGAUACUGGGCGUCUCGAGUGUGGUAGGGGUAUGCGGAACUAUCGGUGGAGCGGUGAAAUGCGUUGAUAUCGAUAGGAACUCCGGUGGCGAAGGCGGCAUACUGGACCACCACUGACGCUGAUGCGCGAAAGCCAGGGGAGCAAACGGG